rnacentral:rRNA from 1 species
UACCAGCACCCCGAGUGGUCGGGACGAUUAUUGGGCCUAAAGCAUCCGUAGCCGGUCAUGCAAGUCUUCCGUUAAAUCCAGCCGCUCAACGGUUGGGCUGCGGAGGAUACUACGUGGCUAGGAGGCGGGAGAGGCAAGCGGUACUCAGUGGGUAGGGGUAAAAUCCUUUGAUCCAUUGAAGACCACCAGUGGCGAAGGCGGCUUGCCAGAACGCGCUCGACGGUGAGGGAUGAAAGCUGGGGGAGCAAGCCGG